AAGACACUGAAAAUGUCUAGAUGGGCAUUAUUGCCCCAUCAACA
rnacentral:tRNA from 1 species